GACGAACGCUGGCGGCGUGCCUAAUACAUGCAAGUCGAGCGGACGGAUGGGAGCUUGCUCCCAGACCGUCAGCGGCGGACGGGUGAGUAACACGUGGGCAACCUGCCUGUAAGACUGGGAUAACUCCGGGAAACCGGGGCUAAUACCGGAUAACUCUUUCCCUCACAUGAGGGAAAGCUGAAAGAUGGCAUCUCGCUAUCACUUACAGAUGGGCCCGCGGCGCAUUAGCUAGUUGGUGAGGUAACGGCUCACCAAGGCGACGAUGCGUAGCCGACCUGAGAGGGUGAUCGGCCACACUGGGACUGAGACACGGCCCAGACUCCUACGGGAGGCAGCAGUAGGGAAUCUUCCGCAAUGGACGAAAGUCUGACGGAGCAACGCCGCGUGAGUGAUGAAGGCUUUCGGAUCGUAAAACUCUGUUGUCAGGGAAGAACAAGUACCGGAGUAACUGCCGGUACCUUGACGGUACCUGACCAGAAAGCCACGGCUAACUACGUG
rnacentral:rRNA from 1 species